rfam:Felis catus isolate Cinnamon breed Abyssinian chromosome A3, whole genome shotgun sequence.
GCCUGGGUGGCUCAGUCAGUUGAGCCUCUGACUUCAGCUCAGGUCAUGAUCUCACAUUUCGUGGGUUUGAGCCCCACAUUGGGCU